rnacentral:lncRNA from 7 species
AGGAAGGAUGAAGUCUGAGAAUCAGCCUGAAGAUGAAGAAAGCUUCUGGGAAUAUGUCAACAAAUCGUACUCUGUUUCCUGAGGUUGGCUGCUUGUUUCUAAUGUACUUGGAUGCACGGGUCCCUCCACCCUGCUACUCAUGGAAAUGGGACAAACCAGCCCAACCUUUUCUGUGUUUGGAGGCAGUUGGUUGCAUAGGCCAUUAUUUGCUGGUCAGAAUUUGGGUUGAGUUGGUACAAGCUCAAGAGGAGCAUAAUGAAAAUACUGCUAUCAGCAUUACUAUCCAGUACAGCUUUAAUGCCUCUGCUCUUCAUAAAUUCAUCUUCCACAAACACGUUACCAGGUAAAUAUAUAGGGUUUUUGUUAUAAUAAAUUGAUGCAUGCAGUGGAAUGGAUGGUAGAUGUUUCACUGAUCUCUAUGAAAUGAAUAACUCAAGGAAGUGAGCAACUUCAUAAAUAAAUUCAGAAAUGUGCUGAAAUGUUUUCAGUGGAAUACUUAUCAAAAACAAUUUCAAAGCUGUAUGAAGACUUUUGUAAAGCUGUAUGUGCAAGAAUGUCUUAUGGUAAUAUUUUUUUCUCUUAGCAUAAAUAGACUCUUGGUUCUCCUGAAUUAUAUAAUGUAAUGACGUGAAGUUGAAAUCACACUGAAACUUGUUCUUUUUCCAGUUAGUAAAUCUAUAACAAUUCCCCCUUGGAAAUUGUUUCUUCAAAUAUAAUUGUGUGAAAUGGCUGGCAUAGAUUUUUUUUUGCAUGGCACUUGUAACAGUUUUGUCCCGAAAACCUUAAUUUGAAAAGAAGAAACUAUUUUAAACUAAUUUAAAGCUUGUAAAGUUUUCCCUCAGUUAGGAAGUGAUAUUUAGAAAGGGUUUUUUACAUUUAAUCUUUGUGUGCAGAAGUUAACUAGUACCCUUGUCAAUUAGUUGUUUGUUGUAUCGUUUAUAUUGCUGUCAUGACUUGAAUAAACAACUGCUAUUAAAG